AGUCGGUGUCCGACGCAAUUUGGAGAAAGCUCUCGGGUCGUUCUUGAAAGGCGCUGAGCUGGGCUCCACGUUCGCUAUGGUCGAUGCGGGGCUUAUUUACUGGGAAAAGGGUCAAUAGGAAGAAGCAAUUACUUUUUAUCAAAGAGCUGCCGCCCUCGGUGUCACUGCUUGCCAGUGCAAUCUCGGAAUCUUAUACUUACAAGGUGAACCUCAAGAUCAUAAGGAAGCUAUAAAAUGGUUGCAUCAAGCUUCAGUCGGGGGCCAUGUUCGAGCUCAAUACCAGUUGGCCCUUUGCCUGGAUCAAGGUUUUGGGGUGGAAGGAAAUCUUGAAGAAGCAUUAUGGGAUUUCUUUGCUUAGCCGUUUUAAUUAUAUUCAUAAUUAGUGAUCGUUUCCAUUUGAUGAUUGGGUUUACUUUGUUUUGUUAUUGUUUGCUUAGGCUAGAUGAUAUCUAGAGGCAGCUGAAGGUGGAUAUGUGCGUGCUAUGUAUAAUGCUUCGCUUUGUUUUACAUUCGGUGAAGGUUUAUCACAUAAUGGUCGACAAGCAAGGAAAUGGAUGAAGAGAGCAGCUGAUUGUGGCCAUGGCAAAGCUCAAUUCGAUCAUGGACUCACUCUAGUUUCAAAAGGGGAAAUGAUGAACGUUGUAGUGUACCUUGAACUUGCUAUACGUUCGGGUGAAACGGCUGCAACUCAUGU